UAUGGAAUCUGAUAGAGUGAGAUCUUUAGUAAGCAUUAAAUUUUUUUUUUAUCUUAAAGAAAUAAUUAAUCGAAAUAAUGAGUCAUUGUUGAUAUCGACACAUCCGAGAUCAUCAAAUGCUUAAGAGCUCCUCUAUUCAAUUCUUUUUAUUUUUAUUGCUGGAUAUCUCAUUUGUACAGAUCUUUUCUUUGUUUCUCGAGCCUGAAUGUAUUAGUAAUAUAAAAAUCAAUUAUGCUAGAAUAUUCAUAAAUUUGGAUAAUUUAUAAGGGUGAAGAAGAAGAAGCAUAUAUGGCAACAUCUUUCCCAAUGAGUGAUGAUGAUAGUGUUUAUAGCUACUCAAAAAACUCCCAAAUUCAGAUCGGAUGACAUGGUUCUCGAGGUGAUUGGUUGAGUUUUGACUCGUUUUGGAACGCUUUAGAGUUAAAUGGUCAACUUUGAUGGAUAUUCAAAGACCAAAGAGUUGCGUGAAAAUUUUGUCAGUUUCAUUAGGUUUGAAUCAUCAAUUUUGGAUUAGUAGCAUAGUUGAUUUGAAUUCUGAGGCUUUUUGUGUGAUUUUGAGCAUCUGAACGAGAUGUUGAAAAGUUAAAGGUCUAGAGCUGACUUCGGUCAAUAUCGGUUGAUAACAAUCAUCAUUGAAAAUUCUGACUACUUCACUGAAUCUGCAAUAUCGAAUUUGAUCUAAUAGUAUAGUUGAAUUGUGUUUA